GUGUCAUUCUGUAAGACACAGCCCCUUAUCUUCAGUCGGCUUGUAAUACCUCAGUGGACAGCAGCACCGGGGAGGACAGCUAGGCUACGGUAAGCAGAUAACUGUAUAAACUUGGCCUCUGAAAAAAGUUU